CGUGUGCAGCGGCGUCCUCUCAUCCUUCUGUUAACGUUUCUUGGUAUUCAGUUACUGGUUUCGGGCUCAGAUAUUUUACCUUGAGAAAAUUAGAGUGUUCCAGGCAGGCUUGCGCCGGAAUACAUUAGCAUGGAAUAAUAGAAUAGGACUUUAGUCUCCUUUGUUGGUUUGAGGGACUGAAGUAAUGAUUAAUAGGGAUAGUUGGGGGCAUUAGUAUUUAAUUGUCAGAGGUGAAAUUCUCGGAUUUGUUAAAGACUAACUUAUGCGAAAGCAUUUGCCAAGGAUGUUUUCAUUAAUCAAGAACGAAAGUUAGGGGAUCAGAGACGAUCAGAUACCGUCCUAGUCUUAACCAUAAACUAUGCCGACUAGGGAUCGGAGGCGCGCCUUAUCCGCCUUCGGCACCUUAUGAGAAAUCAAAGUCUUUGGGUUCCGGGGGGAGUAUGGUCGCAAGGCUGAAACUUAAAGGAAUUGACGGAAGGGCACCACCAGGAGUGGAGCCUGCGGCUUAAUUUGACUCAACACGGGGAAACUCACCAGGUCCAGACAUAACUAGGAUUGACAGAUUGAUAGCUCUUUCAUGAUUUUAUGGGUGGUGGUGCAUGGCCGUUCUUAGUUGGUGGAGUGAUUUGUCUGGUUAAUUCCGAUAACGAACGAGACCUUAACCUGCUAAAUAGCCAGGCCGGCUUUUGCUGGUCGCCGGCUUCUUAGAGGGACUGUCUG
rnacentral:rRNA from 1 species